ACAAUGGACGAAAGUCUGAUGGAGCAACGCCGCGUGAGUGAAGAAGGGUUUCGGCUCGUAAAACUCUGUUGUUAAAGAAGAACAUAUCUGAGAGUAACUGUUCAGGUAUUGACGGUAUUUAACCAGAAAGCCACGGCUAACUACGUGCCAGCAGCCGCGGUAAUACGUAGGUGGCAAGCGUUGUCCGGAUUUAUUGGGCGUAAAGCGAGCGCAGGCGGUUUUUUAAGUCUGAUGUGAAAGCCUUCGGCUCAACCGAAGAAGUGCAUCGGAAACUGGGAAACUUGAGUGCAGAAGAGGACAGUGGAACUCCAUGUGUAGCGGUGAAAUGCGUAGAUAUAUGGAAGAACACCAGUGGCGAAGGCGGCUGUCUGGUCUGUAACUGACGCUGAGGCUCGAAAGUAUGGGUAGCAAACAGGAUUAGAUACCCUGGUAGUCCAUACCGUAAACGAUGAAUGCUAAGUGUUGGAGGGUUUCCGCCCUUCAGUGCUGCAGCUAACGCAUUAAGCAUUCCGCCUGGGGAGUACGGCCGCAAGGCUGAAACUCAAAGGAAUUGACGGGGGCCCGCACAAGCGGUGGAGCAUGUGGUUUAAUUCGAAGCUACGCGAAGAACCUUACCAGGUCUUGACAUACUAUGCAAAUCUAAGAGAUUAGACGUUCCCUUCGGGGACAUGGAUACAGGUGGUGCAUGGUUGUCGUCAGCUCGUGUCGUGAGAUGUUGGGUUAAGUCCCGCAACGAGCGCAACCCUUAUUAUCAGUUGCCAGCAUUAAGUUGGGCACUCUGGUGAGACUGCCGGUGACAAACCGGGAGGAAGGUGGGGAUGACGUCAAAUCAUCAUGCCCCUUAUGACCUGGGCUACACACGUGCUACAAUGGAUGGUACAACGAGUUGCGAACUCGCGAGAGUAAGCUAAUCUCUUAAAGCCAUUCUCAGUUCGGAUUGUAGGCUGCAACUCGCCUACAUGAAGUCGGAAUCGCU
rnacentral:rRNA from 2 species